rnacentral:rRNA from 1 species
CCUACGGGAGGCAGCAGUGAGGAAUAUUGGUCAAUGGACGAGAGUCUGAACCAGCCAAGUAGCGUGAAGGAUGACUGCCCUAUGGGUUGUAAACUUCUUUUAUAUGGGAAUAAAAUGUUCCACGUGUGGGAUUUUGUAUGUACCAUAUGAAUAAGGAUCGGCUAACUCCGUGCCAGCAGCCGCGGUAAUACGGAGGAUCCGAGCGUUAUCCGGAUUUAUUGGGUUUAAAGGGAGCGUAGGUGGAUUGGUAAGUCAGUUGGGAAAGUUUGCGGCGCAACCGUAAAAUGGCAGUUGAAACUGGCAGUCUUGAGUACAGUAGAGGUGGGCGGAAUUCGUGGUGUAGCGGUGAAAUGCUUAGAUAUCACGAAGAACUCCGAUUGCGAAGGCAGCUCACUGGACUGCAACUGACACUGAGGCUCGAAAGUGUGGGUAUCAAACAGGAUUAGAUACCCGGGUAGUC